UACGAAGGGUGCAAACGUUGCUCGGAAUCAUUGGGCGUAAAGCGCACGUAGGCGGCCUCAAAAGUUGGAUGUGAAAUCCCUGGGCUCAACCGAGGAAGUGCAGUCGAAACUAACUAGCUAGAGGACGGCAGAGGAAGGUGGAAUUCCAAGUGUAGAGGUGAAAUUCGUAGAUAUUUGGAGGAAUACCUGUGGCGAAGGCGGCCUUCUGGACCGGUCCUGACGCUGAGACGCGAAAGCGUGGGGAGCAAACAGG
rnacentral:rRNA from 1 species